AUUGAACGCUGGCGGCAUGCUUUACACAUGCAAGUCGAACGGCAGCGCGGGCUUCGGCCGGGCGGCGAGUGGCGCAAGGGUGUGUAAUACAUCGGAAUGUGCCCAGCUGGGGGGGAUAGCACGGCGAAAGCAGGAUUAAUACCGCAUACGACCUGAGGGUGAAAGAGGGGGAGCUUCGGACCUCGCGCUAGGGGAGCGGCCGAUGGCAGAUUAGCUAGUUGGUGGGGUAAAGGCCUACCAAGGAGACGAUCUGUAGGUGGUCUGAGAGGACGACCAGCCACACUGGGACUGAGACACGGCCCAGACUCCUACGGGAGGCAGCAGUGGGGAAUUUUGGACAAAGGGCGAAAGCCUGAUCCAGCAAUGCCGCGUGUGUGAUGAAGGCCUUCGGGUUGUAAAGCACUUUUGGCGGGAACGAAAAGGACUGUGCUAAUACCACGGUUGAAUGACGGUACCCGCAGAAUAAGCACCGGCUAACUACGUG
rnacentral:rRNA from 1 species